AAUUUCGACUUGAUGGUUAGGAUCACAUUGUCUCAAGCAGACUCCUGAAGCCUUUCCUCACUUUUCUUUUUUUGUUUACAAUUUGGUUACUACGUGGCGUGCAGGCGUAAAAAAUCUUGGCUUCAGUAAAAAAGUGUCAAAAAGUGAAUAAUUAUAUAGUUGUAAAAAAGUUACUGACGUAUUGAAAUGGCAAAUCGUGAACAAGACAUUAACGUGAUUGUAUUAAGUGUUGUGCAACACCUGAUUCAGCAGGAUGGGGAAGAAGACGAAACCAUUAUUCAAGAAUUAGUUCGACCGUUUUUUGCUGCUUAUGGAAAUAUGGAAUCAAGUAGGGAAGGUCCAAGAGAGUUCUCAGGAGUUCAAGAAUACAUUGAGAGAACUGUUACUGGAUAUUCGGACCCCUAUUUCAAAAAACAUUUCAGGAUGUCCAGGCAAAGCUUCGAGCAUUUAGCCCGCAUGAUGGCAAUAUAUUUAAAUAGCAAUGAUUCUGGAGUGCCGGUUCAAACCAAACUGCUACUGACUUUGUGGACUUUGGCAAAUGUUGAGUCUUUUAGAGGAAUAGGAGAUAGGUUUGGAAUGUAUAUGGGAAACGUCCACUACAUCUUUUUGUGUACUACCAGAGCAUUCCGGCUCAAUUCAAUCAAAUUCAUCAAAUGGCCAACCAGGGCCGAAUAUAGAUCUAUAACGCUGCAAUUUAGUUUUCCCUACGCCAUUGGCAGUGUCGACAGUACCUUCAUAAGGAUUCGGCAACCACUCAAGCAGUGCAAUAGUUCAUCGAUGUAUCCACUGGAUAUCCAUCAUCGAUGCAUGAUGCAUCUGUUUUUGCUCACAGCCAACUGGGUCGCAAUUUGUCUAUAUUGCUAGAGGGUACCCCGUUCGUGCUACUAGGAGACUCUGCCUACGGUUUGACCACUACACUAAUGAAGCCGUAUCCAGAUAAUGGGCGGCUUGAUGAGACUGAGAAGAACUUCAACCGGGUAUUGUCCCAAAACCGGUCUGCCGUGGAACGAUCAUUUUCCCUUUUAAAAAACAAAUGGAGGCGUCUACGAUAUUUGGACAUGCUUUUGUUAAAUCGCAUUCCGGAUGUCAUAUUAACUGCAUGCUGCCUUCAUAAUUAUAUAAUACAAAGGGGAGAUGUACAACCAGAA
rnacentral:misc_RNA from 1 species